GAUGAACGCUGGCGGCGUGCCUCAAACAUGCAAGUCGAGCGGGGCUAUGUAAUAUCGCAAGGUAGAACAUAGCCUAGCGGCGAACGGGUGAGUAACACGUGGGUAACCUGCCUGGAAGACAGGGAUAACGAUUCGAAAGGGUCGCUAAUACCUGAUAAUAUCCUUUCAUCGCAUGGUGAUAGGAAGAAAGGGGAAACCCGCUUUCAGAUGGGCCCGCGUCCCAUCAGCUAGUUGGUAAGGUAAAGGCUUACCAAGGCGACGACGGGUAGCCGGUCUGAGAGGAUGUACGGCCACACUGGGACUGAGAUACGGCCCAGACUCCUACGGGAGGCAGCAGUUGGGAAUCUUAGGCAAUGGACGAAAGUCUGACCUAGCGACGCCGCGUGAGGGAAGAAGGCCUUCGGGUUGUAAACCUCUGUCAUGGGGAAGGAAGUAAGUAGACGGUACCCAAGAGGAAGCCCCUGCUAACUACGUG
rnacentral:rRNA from 1 species